rnacentral:rRNA from 1 species
GAUGAACGCUGGCGGCGUGCUUAACACAUGCAAGUCGAACGGAAAGGCCCAAGCUUGCUUGGGUGCUCGAGUGGCGAACGGGUGAGUAACACGUGGGUGAUCUGCCCUGCACUUUGGGAUAAGCCUGGGAAACUGGGUCUAAUACCGGAUAGGACCAUCGUUUAGUGUCGGUGGUGGAAAGUUUUUCGGUGUGGGAUGAGCUCGCGGCCUAUCAGCUUGUUGGUGGGGUAAUGGCCUACCAAGGCGUCGACGGGUAGCCGGCCUGAGAGGGUGUACGGCCACCUUGGGACUGAGGUGCGGCCCAGACUCCUACGGGAGGCAGCAGUGGGGAAUAUUGCACAAUGGGCGCCAGCCUGAUGCAGCGACGCCGCGUGGGGGAUGACGGCCUUCGGGUUGUAAACUCCUUUCGCCAAGGACGAAGCGUUUUGUGACGGUACUUGGAGAAGAAGCACCGGCUAACUACGUG